UACGUAGGGUGCGAGCGUUAAUCGGAAUUACUGGGCGUAAAGCGUGCGCAGGCGGUUCGUUGUGUCGGUGGUGAAAUCCCCGGGCUUAACCUGGGGUCUGCAGUCGAUACGAGCAAACUAGAGUGUUGCAGGGGAGACUGGAAUUCCUGGUGUAGCGGUGAAAUGCGCAGAUAUCAGGAGGAACACCGGUGGCGAAGGCGGGUCUCUGGGCAACAACUGACGCUGGAGGAGCGAAAGCGUGGGGAGCGAACAGG
rnacentral:rRNA from 1 species